UUCCCCGCCUCCACUGUGUCGCCCUUCACCGCCACAACGACACGUCGCCACCGCUCCCCUAGACACCGGACAUCGCUGCCACCGCUCACCGCGACACCGCCUAGCGUCACAGCCAUCGCCACACCUCCCACCGCCCAAGCCUUCGGUUCGACGCCUCGAAGUUCACCAGCACAGCUACAGCCACCCACCGCACAGCAACAGCCACCGUGCAUCUCCGCCGCUUCCCGCUGCACCGCGACACCGCCGCUUCCCGCUGCACCGCGACACCGCCACCUGCCUUCCCGAAUCUCCGAGGCAAUUUGUGGCAGCAAUGAGACAUUUGAUGACUAUGAUCAAGGUUUCUUUUCUUCUUGUAAUUGAACUUGGGGUCUUCCUUUUGAUGUGUGGAUGGUGGCUGGAUGUUUGUACCAUAAGUGUGUCAGAUCCAUUUACUGAAAUUCCUACUGUCAUGCUUCUCUUUCAAAUCUGCAUUCCUUUUUCCAUUUGUUAGGUUUGUGUCUGGACCAUAUUGAAAAGCAUGAGGUGAUCAAAGUAUGUUAUUGUCUCCGGUUAAAGAGAUGAGUCCUUCGCUCUAUGGGAUUUGAGGUGCAAUGACAGCAGUGGCCAAAGACUUUGUCUACAAUCAAUUUCUAUGGUGCAUGAGGCUCACAUUUCUCAUUGUCAAAGGCGGGGUAGACGUAGAAAGGCAAACGAGAAGAAAUCAUGGAAAAGAAUAUCUCUGACCACGAGCAGUCUGAGAAGGAUGAUGAAAUAUCACUUUCUGUUGGGAAACGAGGUGAUAAUGGUGUUGAGGAAUAUAAAUUUUUGUUAUAUUAGUUUGUUAAUAAAUUUUUGUUAUAUUAGUUUGUUAAUAUAAAUUUCUAACAUAAGUGGAUUCUCAUCGCACUAUAAGUCAUUAGGCUCCCUCGUAAAAUUGAUAUCUAAUUUUUGUUUUGUUGCU